rnacentral:rRNA from 1 species
AUGGGAUGCAAUAAACUGAUGGUGAAUUCAGAUAAUCUAGAGGUGGUGGAAAUGAUGGAUAACGACGGUCUCUCAAUGGGAGUAGCGGCAACUAUUUUUGAUAAUUGCUACAAUCUGGCUUGCGAGUUCCCUCGAACUUAUUUUGAUCACUGUAAUAGAUUAGCAAAUUUAGUAGCUCAUGAGCUAGCUAGUAUGGCUAUGAGAGCACAUUCUUCUCUGUAGGUGGACAAUGCACCGCCGGAGAUUCUCCCUCUCUUACUAGAUGAUGUAACAGUUAUCAAAAGCUAA